GACCCGCUUCUUUCCUAAAAGGAAGUGGCCUCAGAAUUUUCUCGCGGAGUAACCUCUUCGUAAACCCAGGUUCCCCAGGUCCCACGCCUGAGGGUGCUCGGAGCCGCCCUGGAGGGCAGCACGGACUGGCGGGUUCUUUUAAACCCACGGUGAAAACGUCCUCUGGAUGUUUCAUCUGAUGAAAGGCGCAUCCUUACUUUUCCAGUCUUGGUCACAUUCUCUCCUUUCCCUACCAAAGACUGGGUGGCACGGUCGCCCCCGAAGCGUGAAUUGGGGUUGAGGAGGAAGAACACCGUAAACGCUCUUUGAGUGGCCUGUGGCGUCUCUACUUCUUCACUAACCACUCCUGGUUUGGGCGGAUUCUCACACAAAAUUGUCUUGGCAAAACCUCAGCCUGACUCACGAUCAAGGGAUGCACCUGCAUUGAUCUUCUUGAAGGAGCUGUCCUUUGGCAGCCUGCUGGGAUUUCCUUCAAGAGGAGGAGAGGAAGGGAAACACUUGUCCAGGAUAAAGCCUAGCUCCCUAUAUAUCCGUUCCUCUAUGUGGAUGAAAUGUGAUGAUCCGCAGUCAACACCCUGCACAGCCAGCCUCUUCUCAGCAUCUGCCUUCAGAUAAACUAACCUGCAAUAGCUGACCUCACUGGUGUCAUUGAGCACAUCCAAAAUCAUUUUAAAUAUCUCUAGUGAAGAGUUUGAAUCCAGAUGCCCCCUGGUGGUUACGCCUUUAAUAUAGACUCUUCAAAUAUCUGUGGAAAUAACCAUGCAGACAUAACAAAGAAUAAAAAUGCACAACAUUGAUCA
rnacentral:lncRNA from 1 species